CUCAACGGAUAAAAGGUACUCCGGGGAUAACAGGCUGAUACCGCCCAAGAGUUCACAUCGACGGCGGUGUUUGGCACCUCGAUGUCGGCUCAUCACAUCCUGGGGCUGAAGUCGGUCCCAAGGGUAUGGCUGUUCGCCAUUUAAAGUGGUACGCGAGCUGGGUUUAGAACGUCGUGAGACAGUUCGGUCCCUAUCUGCCGUGGGCGUUGGAUGUUUGAGAAGAGCUGCUCCUAGUACGAGAGGACCGGAGUGGACGACCCUCUGGUGUUCCGGUUGUCACGCCAGUGGCAUUGCCGGGUAGCUAUGGUCGGACGGGAUAACCGCUGAAAGCAUCUAAGCGGGAAGCCCCCUUCAAGAUGAGACAUCCCUGAGACCUAGAGUCUCCUAAAGGGCCCAGCGAGACCAGCUGGUGGAUAGGCACGGUGUGGAAGCGCUGCAAGGCGUUGAGCUAACGUGUACUAAUGGCCCGUGAGGCUUGACCCUAUAACACCCAAGGGGU
rnacentral:rRNA from 1 species